rnacentral:tRNA from 1 species
AAGGCUGUAGCUUAGUGGAAGAUCAUCUGCUUUGCAAGCAGAAGGUCACAGGUUCAAUCCCCAGCCUCU